rnacentral:rRNA from 1 species
CUGUUUAUCAAAAACAUAGCUUUUUGUGAAUUUAUAAAAAGUGUUUUCUGCUCUAUGAUUUUAAAUGGCCGCGGUAAUUUGACCGUGCAAAGGUAGCAUAAUCAUUUGCUUUAUAAUUGAGGGCUAGAAUGAAUGGAAUUACGAGAUCAAAUCUUUAUUUUUUAGAAAAAAAUAAUUUUUUAAUUUAGUUAAGAGACUAAAAUAAGUAAAUGGGACAAGAAGACCCUUUUGAGCUUUAUUUUUUUUUUUAGUUUUACUAGUUAGGAAAAUUUGGUUGGGGCGACCAGAGAAGAAAAAUCUUCUCUCUUGUAUUUUGAUCCAUUUUUAUUGAUAAAUAGAUUUAGUUACCAAAGGGAUAACAGCGUAAUUUUUUUUAARAGUUCUUAUUAAAAAAAUAGAUUGCGACCUCGAUGUUGACUUAUUUCUUCCUUUUUGUGCAGCAGUAAAAAAGGUAGGUCUGUUCGACCUUUAAAGUUUUACGUGAUCU